ensembl:lncRNA
CAGCAAUGCAACUAUCUCUUUAUCUAUAGAGACAAAAGAAAGAUAUUACAGAAUGAUCACUCUGAAUGGCCGCCCAUCCAUGUAAAUAUCUCUAUUUGUAAAGACAAAAGAAUGAGGUUUAAUCACCGUCUUAAUGUGUAGUGACUGGGUUUAUUUGUGAAGAUACUGAUGAAUGAAAACAUGGUUCAACCCAAAAGAAAACCUGUCAGCUUGAGCUUUAUUUUAUAUAGCUUUGUUCUUUCAACUUUAUGUACAAAAGCAAAUAGAAAUAACUAUAUUUUGUAAAAAAAAUUUCCUGAAUUUUGCGCCAUCUGGCUUUCUCUAUGGUUCCCUACUGCCGUCUAACUCCACCUGCCACCUGAAAGAAAAAAAUAAUAAAUUUAAAGGAAGCAAGGAGCCACAAACCGUAGAGGCUAAGCGAAGAAGACCUUCAUCGACGUCGAACUCUACCUGCCGCCAUAUACCGCCAUAUACCGCCAACCUACCGC